GAGGGUUUAAUUAAAAUGUUAUUAUAAUAUAAGCUUGUCAUGCUUAAUUUGCUCUUUAGAGCAACCUUCU
rnacentral:tRNA from 1 species